rnacentral:rRNA from 1 species
GACGAACGCUGGCGGCGUGCCUAAUACAUGCAAGUCGAACGCGGGGGCGGACGGGUGAGUAAUAUAUAGCUAAUCUGCCCCUUGCUGGAGGACAACAGUUAGAAAUGACUGCUAAUACUCCAUAGCAAGGGAUGAGACUAUAUCGUAUCAGCUAGUCGGUGGGGUAACGGCCUACCGAGGCUAUGACGCGUAACUGGUCUGAGAGAAUGAACAGUAACAUUGGAAGUGAGACAAGGCUCAAACUCCUUCGGGAGGAAGAAGUAGGGGAUAUUGCGCAAUGGGGGAAACGAUGAAGCAGCAACGCCGAGUGGAGGAUGACACUUUUCGGAAGGUAAACUACUUUUGUUAGGGAAGCGGUACCUAAUGAAUAAGCACAGGCAAACUCCGUGCCAGCAGCCGAGGUAAUAC